GGGAGUAUAGUUCAGUGGUAGAGCAUGUGCUUGGUAUGCACAAGGUCCAGGGUUCAAUCCUCAGUACCUCUG
rnacentral:tRNA from 1 species